AAUUAGCCCACGAUGCCAUGAUCGCUAGCCCAACCACACCGUUUCUUCUUCUCGCUCGUCUGAUCAGGAAAUAGAUCUCGCUCAAGCGAUCACGCUGCGCCGCCAAUUCCCCUAGUGGCGAUCGCUCGACUAGACAGACGAACGUCCAGACCUACGCCCAGUCGGCUGGCGCUCGGAGCCUUGGAUCGGAUCAUCUCUCGCAUCAUCGGAGCUACCCCCUCUAGCGCUAUGUUCUGCUCCAUCUACACAAUGGACUGGAUAUCUGACCGAUUAGGAAAAAAAUACCAAUCAAAGAUGAAGAAGACCCGGACAAUUAAAUCUGUUUUUCAAGCAACAUUCAAACAGCCUGCAUCAAACACAUCAAUGAAUGACCAACCGAACGAGUAGGACUCGGAAAAAAAUGCGAGGAAAUGCAAUGUUUCCGGUCCUUCUAAUAUUGCUGGUGAAGAAUGAUGUCCUCAAAUAAAGCAAGUCCUCACUAAUAUGGUACAAGGGUUUCUUCUCACAGUAAAAAUGAGCUUAUAUUUCUUUUUUUUGUUAACUAUUUCUUUUGUCGGAUUUCUUCUCAGAGUAAAAGUGAACUUAUAUUUCAUUUGUAAUGGUGAUGUACUUCUAACAUGCAUUUGUACGCGGUAUUUAACGUUAUUUGUAGUCCCCCACAUUUUUUUUAUUUGUAGUCACUUUAGUUUUAGCCCUAGGCUUUGAGAAAUCCUGGUUCCGCCUCUAAACUUCAUGAACACAAAGUAUUAACCUUCACGAACUUCUAUUACACUGUCUCUUAGCGGUUCUCUUCGCACACAAUAUAUUUUUAAAGGUAGUUGAUCCAUUGUAUUUAUCUCUUAGGUGUUGUAUCUAAGGCGCUUUAUGUGAUGUGUUUGGACCUCAUAAUUGCAUUUCCACGGUGUGGUCUUGUUGUACCAUGAAGUAACAUAAUUAACCGCUUACACACACAAUUAAUUGUGUUGUCUAA